GACGAACGCUGGCGGCGUGCCUAACACAUGCAAGUCGAACGGGACCAGAUGUCAGACAGCGGACAUCAGAAGACAGAUUACAGAUGGCAGAAUACAGAUUCAGAAGAGGGCGUGGAGGAAACCAAGCCUAGAUUCUAAUAUCCUAAGUCUGAGCAUUAGUAUCUGAACUCUGGUAUCUGGCGUCUGAUGUCUGGUCUAGUGGCGGACGGGUGAGUAACGCGUGAGCAACCUGCCUUACAGAGGGGGAUAACAUUCGGAAACAAAUGCUAAUACCGCAUAACAUAUAUUUACGGCAUCGUAGAUAUAUCAAAGGAGCAAUCCGCUGUAAGAUGGGCUCGCGUCCGAUUAGAUAGUUGGUGAGGUAAUGGCUCACCAAGUCUGCGAUCGGUAGCCGGACUGAGAGGUUGAACGGCCACAUUGGGACUGAGACACGGCCCAGACUCCUACGGGAGCAGCA
rnacentral:rRNA from 1 species